rnacentral:rRNA from 1 species
UACGAGGGGGGCGAGCGUUGUUCGGAAUUAUUGGGCGUAAAGGGCGCGUAGGUGGUUGGAUAAGUCUUGUGUGAAAUCUUCGGGCUCAACUCGAAGUCUGCACGAGAAACUAUCUGGCUUGAGUGUGGGAGAGGUGAGUGGAAUUCCUGGUGUAGCGGUGAAAUGCGUAGAUAUCAGGAGGAACACCUGUGGCGAAAGCGGCUCACUGGACCACAACUGACGCUGAGGCGCGAAAGCUAGGGGAGCAAACAGG